GUGGGUACGGGCAGACUAGAGUGCAGUAGGGGAGACUGGAAUUCCUGGUGUAGCGGUGAAAUGCGCAGAUAUCAGGAGGAACACCGAUGGCGAAGGCAGGUCUCUGGGCUGUAACUGACGCUGAGGAGCGAAAGCAUGGGGAGCGAACAGGAUUAGAUACCCUGGUAGUCCAUGCCGUAAACGUUGGGCACUAGGUGUGGGGGACAUUCCACGUUUUCCGCGCCGUAGCUAACGCAUUAAGUGCCCCGCCUGGGGAGUACGGCCGCAAGGCUAAAACUCAAAGGAAUUGACGGGGGCCCGCACAAGCGGCGGAGCAUGCGGAUUAAUUCGAUGCAACGCGAAGAACCUUACCAAGGCUUGACAUGAACCGGAAUGAUGCAGAGAUGUGUCAGCCACUUGUGGCCGGUUUACAGGUGGUGCAUGGUUGUCGUCAGCUCGUGUCGUGAGAUGUUGGGUUAAGUCCCGCAACGAGCGCAACCCUCGUUCCAUGUUGCCAGCGGGUUAUGCCGGGGACUCAUGGGAGACUGCCGGGGUCAACUCGGAGGAAGGUGGGGACGACGUCAAAUCAUCAUGCCCCUUAUGUCUUGGGCUUCACGCAUGCUACAAUGGCCGGUACAAAGGGUUGCGAUACUGUGAGGUGGAGCUAAUCCCAAAAAGCCGGUCUCAGUUCGGAUUGAGGUCUGCAACUCGACCUCAUGAAGUUGGAGUCGCUAGUAAUCGCAGAUCAGCAACGCUGCGGUGAAUACGUUCCCGGGCCUUGUACACACCGCCCGUCAAGUCACGAAAGUUGGUAACACCCGAAGCCGGUGGCCUAACCCCUUGUGGGAGGGAGCCGUCGAAGGUGGGACCGGCGAUUGGGACUAAGUCGUAACAAGG
rnacentral:rRNA from 1 species